rnacentral:tRNA from 1 species
GCCCGGAUAGCUCAGUUGGUAGAGUAUCAGACUUUUAAUCUGAGGGUCCAGGGUUCAAGUCCCUGUUCGGGCG